UCCUAGCAGGCAGCGCCGGCUGUACUUCAGGCUGAGUUAAUUGUGGUGGGGUUUCUUGCGUUUGGGGUGUCCUGAUGCGAGGUGGGAUCUGUGGAGUUUGAUCUUUCUGUAUCUCAUCAGUGCCUGCCUUGGUGGGUGAUGGGCUGGGGGACAAGGACAAAUCAACAGAGGUUUGGAGAGGACGAGAUGAGUCUUCGGACACCAUGCUAAUCUCAGAGCGAGUAAAAAUUCCACACAACCGGCCGAUUCUGUACAUCUUCUGUCAGCAAGGAAGAUCGUCUGGUCAGAAGUCUCACAGAACUCCAUGAAGAAGAAGAAGAAAAAAACUAACAACGCUGGUGGUCUGCUGGACCAGGAGCUGCUGCUGAUCUCCGACUAAGCUUUUCCACACCGCAUCAGCUCAUCUCAGUCACCAAUAUAAUGAUCCUGUGCAUCCAAUAAACAAUCAAGCUUCAA